rnacentral:rRNA from 1 species
UACGUAGGGGGCGAGCGUUGUCCGGAAUUAUUGGGCGUAAAGGGCGCGUAGGCGGUCUCUUAAGUCUGAUGUGAAAGUGCGGGGCUUAACCCCGUAAAGCAUUGGAAACUGGGAGACUUGAGGACAGGAGAGGAAAGUGGAAUUCCACGUGUAGCGGUGAAAUGCGUAGAUAUGUGGAGGAACACCAGUGGCGAAGGCGACUUUCUGGACUGUAACUGACGCUGAGGCGCGAAAGCGUGGGGAUC